AUUGAACGCUGGCGGCAGGCCUAACACAUGCAAGUCGAACGGUAACAGGAAACAGCUUGCUGUUUCGCUGACGAGUGGCGGACGGGUGAGUAAUGUCUGGGAAACUGCCUGGUGGAGGGGGAUAACUACUGGAAACGGUAGCUAAUACCGCAUAACGUCGCAAGACCAAAGAGGGGGACCUUCGGGCCUCUUGCCAUCGGGUGUGCCCAGAUGGGAUUAGCUAGUAGGUGGGGUAACGGCUCACCUAGGCGACGAUCCCUAGCUGGUCUGAGAGGAUGACCAGCCACACUGGAACUGAGACACGGUCCAGACUCCUACGGGAGGCAGCAGUGGGGAAUAUUGCACAAUGGGCGCAAGCCUGAUGCAGCCAUGCCGCGUGUAUGAAGAAGGCCUUCGGGUUGUAAAGUACUUUCAGCGGGGAUGAAGGGAGUAAAGUUAAUACCUUUGCUCAUUGACGUUACCCGCAGAAGAAGCACCGGCUAACUCCGUG
rnacentral:rRNA from 1 species